CCCACCAACAACACGUUAUUUUAUAAAACGAUUUCGCUAUAACACGAUUCAUAAAUUACAAAACCCUCCUAUUACACGGUAUCCUAUAAAACGGUUUUUUCUUUCAAAAAACCUUUGUACAACUUAAGGUAGUACCCCCUGUGUCGAUUUAAAAAAAUCGAAUUUUUUUUUUUACAUAUUUCGUAAGAAAAACAUUUUAAAAAUAUGCUUCGAAAAUUUCAGACCGAUAUUCAAAGUAUUCUCAAAGUUAUAACCGAAAGUAUGGAGCGCGCCGUAGUGUGUAUAACUCAGAACGCCUCUAUUUUGUUGCCUCUAUUUACUCUCUGUUAGGUAUUGUGUUGUUGAUAAGCAAAUUUUCGAAUAAAAUAAUUGAUGUGAUAGUAAAAUCAAGCAUAUGUAAAGCAUGUCAGUAUUUAGCAACAAAAAACCCCAUCGAAGCUGAGAGUUUAUCUGAAGAUCACAAAAAUGAAUGCACAGCAAAUCACGAGGGUAGUAGUGGCAAAAUGGAGGUCGACAGUGUUUCUGAAAUGUUCAAGCGUUCUGAGGAGCGUUAUGGAUUGAAAUACGUUAAAUACAUUGGUCAAACAGCCAGAAACUACGUCGACACCGUUGAUAAUGCUCGUAUUUUGAGAGCGAAAAAUCUACAGAAGCUUACUCUAAAGAGGCCAAAACCUACGUAGAGUUCUCAAAGCUGUUUAAAAUGAUAAUUAUGAGGAAGCUGAAGGACUACUGUAUACACCAGCCAUAGCAGAAUAAUACGUCUACAAAGGCUCUGUGCUUCCGCAAAUUGAAUUGGGGGAAUCUAAUUUGACGUUAAAAAAAAGGGACAAAUAUUGUCCAAAUUAGGGGGGUACUACCUUAAAGAAACAAUGUUGCGGAAAGUAUUUCUUUUCAUCUUCAUGGCCUGAAAACAAAAGUGUCUUACGCUAUUGUGAACUGAAAACAUCAACGUACAAUGCGUGUUGGAAGAAGAUAUGGCCCUCUUCAGUUGAAAUAGAGAACGUGCGUGAAUCGUCACAAAAUGAAAUUGGUGGCAUAUUAGAACUUGCUAAAUCAAUCGGAGGCGAAGGUUUUCUGAAUAUGGCUAUUGAGGACGUUCAAGGUUUAUUAAUGGAAGAAGAAGUUGACGAAGCGGAUUUGGUGGAAAUGGCAUCCGAAACUGUAAAAUUGUGCAGCUAAUAAGUUAACAUUAAAAAAGUUACAAGAAGGCCUAAGCUUAGCUGAAAAUCUUGAGUUAUUUUUCUUGAAUGCAGACCCUUCCGCAGAAAGAAGCCUAAAAUUCAAAAGGGAGCAUUAAAAUUGUCUAGCUCCAUACCAAGAAAUUUACAAUUACCUGGUAAGAAACAACAAGCAAAGUAAAAUUACAGAUUUUUUAAAGACGGAAGAAGAUGCAAGAACUUUAAAUGAAGAAAAACGUUCUGAAAGUGAAGGCAAUAUCAUUCCACCGAAAAAACGUUCUCGGUUGAUUAAAUUGAGCAGUAACGACGAAGAAAUAAAUUAAAUUAAAGUUGCGUUAAA